rnacentral:rRNA from 1 species
AACGAACGUUAGCGGCGCGCUUAACACAUGCAAGUCGAGCGAGAAGGGGGCAACCCCAGUAAAGCGGCGCACGGGUGAGUAACACGUAGGUAAUUUACCUCGAGGUGGUGGAUAACCUUCCGAAAGGAGGGCUAAUACAGCAUGAGACCACGUCUUCGAAAGAGGAUGAGGUUAAAGCGGGCCUCUAUACAUAAGCUCGCGCCACGAGAUGAGCCUGCGGCCCAUCAUGGUAGUUGGUAGGGUAAUGGCCUACCAAGCCGAAGACGGGUAGCUGGUCUGAGAGGAUGAUCAGCCACACUGGAACUGAGACACGGUCCAGACUCCUACGGGAGGCAGCAGUGGGGGAAUCUUGCGCAAUGGGCGAAAGCCUGACGCAGCGACGCCGCGUGAGUGAUGAAGGCCCUCGGGUUGUAAAGCUCUGUGGAGGGGGACGAAUAAGGGUUGGUGAAUAUCCAGCUCGAUGACGGUACCCCUUUAGCAAGCACCGGCUAACU